rnacentral:rRNA from 1 species
AGCGAACGCUGGCGGCAGGCCUAACACAUGCAAGUCGAACGAAGCCUUCGGGCUUAGUGGCGGACGGGUGAGUAACACGUGGGAACGUACCUUUUGGUUCGGAAUAACGCAGAGAAAUUUGCGCUAAUACCGAAUGAGCCCUUCGGGGGAAAGAUUUAUCGCCGAAAGAUCGGCCCGCGUAGGAUUAGGUAGUUGGUGUGGUAAAGGCGCACCAAGCCUACGAUCCAUAGCUGGUCUGAGAGGAUGAUCAGCCACACUGGGACUGAGACACGGCCCAGACUCCUACGGGAGGCAGCAGUGGGGAAUCUUGCGCAAUGGGCGAAAGCCUGACGCAGCCAUGCCGCGUGAAUGAUGAAGGUCUUAGGAUUGUAAAAUUCUUUUACCAGGGACGAUAAUGACGGUACCUGGAGAAAAAGCCCCGGCUAACUUCGUGCCAGCCGCCGCAGUAAGAC